rnacentral:rRNA from 1 species
UACGGAGGUUCCAAGCGUUGUUCGGAAUUACUGGGCGUAAAGGGGGCGCAGGCGGCCAGGUCAGUCUAAAGUGGAAUCCCGGGGCUCAACCUCGGAAAGCCUUUGGAUACUGCCCGGCUUGAGUACGUGAGAGGAAGGCGGAAUUCAAGGUGUAGCGGUGAAAUGCUUAGAUAUCUUGAGGAACACCAAUGGCGAAAGCAGCCUUCUGGCACGACACUGACGCUGAGGCCCGAAAGCGUGGGGAGCGAACGGG